UAUUGGCAACUUACGUUAACU
ensembl:piRNA 21ur-1271 ncRNA